rnacentral:rRNA from 1 species
GCCACGCCUGUCCGAGGGUCGGCU